UGAGGCACAUACAAUAUCUGUCUAACCUUCAAAUAGCAUGUCAUGAUCCAGUGGUUUUUAACUGCUGGGUGGCUCAUUGUGAUAAUGAUAAUGAUGAUGAUGAAGGAGGUUAGGGUGGGAAGACGUGACCGCACUGUGACCUCACUCUGAUCUCUGACUCACGGCAGCAAGAAAACGCCAUUCAGGCCAUGGAGCUGCGCAACUACUUCUCCCUGUUCUGCCUGCACCAGGAGAGCCAGCUCAUAUUUACAUACCUGCCCAUUACGUCUCACAUCCUGGGGGCAUUUGUAGACUCACAGGUGCAGGGACAUAAAGAGAUGGGUGAGGUGUGGCAAGAUCUUCAUUCCAAGCUUAAAAAUCUUUUUGGGGACGGUAACGGACAGUCUCCGCCUCUCAGCCCAAAAUAGCCUCCCUUCUGUGCUUUCAUGAUCUCCAACCUGUUUUGAAUGGCAGGAACUAUUCAGGAACUACAGACAGUCAGUAUUCUUUCUUGCAAAGAAUUAUGGGGAACUGCUUCUGUGUAAAUGUGUAAUGUGGCAGUUCUUAAAAUCUGUCUGUCUGAGGUGAAAAGGGCCCUUAAUUUCCUACAGUUUGAACAAACUGACACCUAAAAUAAACGGCUAAUGUUGUUGAGAAUAAUUUUAGCAAAUGCAACAAGAUGCUACAACACUGUAUUAAUGUUUAAUCUACAUGUAUGCAAAGCUGAUGUUGUUGUUUUAAAACGUAAAAUAAUCUGAAAAAGAAAAUUUUACGUUGUAAAAAAAGUGUAAACACAUGAAAGAUGACCUAUAUUUACUAUUUUAGUGCAAUAUAAAGAAAUGAACUGAGAAGCUAAUAGCCAGUGAGCAAGAGCUGUGGUCAGUUGAAUACACUUAGCAAACAUGGGAAAUAUGCAGAAAUUAUGUUAUUUGAUGCAAAGGCAUCAUAUUCUUCCUUGUUCAUGGUUUCAACUGACAGA